rnacentral:lncRNA from 1 species
GUCCUUUUUUGGGCGGCCUCGAGGCCUCGGUGGUGAAGCCACUGCCUCUUGAGCAGCAGGGUCCUUCGGCUUCGGGGGACGGCCACGGCCUCUCCGGGGCGGGGCAGUUGGAUCAGGCAUCUGGUAAUUGUUCUUGAAGAAAACGAGUUCACCACUUUCUUUCAUCCUGGUUAAAUGAACGGCGAGUAAGGUGGAGUGUCCGGCUGGCAAAUCUCCAUACUUUGAUUCUAUGUAUUUGGAUAUUGCUGACUUGUUUGCGCCCUCUUUCUGCUUCAAUGCAUCAAUGGCUUCGACAAUCAUCUGCAACAAAAUUCAAAAUUUGAAUUCAACUUGGAAAAAUGGAAAUGAACUGAUCUGCUUUUCUAGUUAAAAAAAUGUCAGAAGUGGUCCAACUAAAUGGUACUGAGCAACUUUAGAGCUGGAAACCAGUCAUUUUUAGCUGCAAAGACAAAAAGGGUUACACAAAAUUUGUUUCUUUAUUUUUCCCUUAUAAAAGUAAACAAGUGCUUUUUUUUACCAUUUUUGGAAAAAAAUAAAAUUCCCAUUUUUCUUGCAGCAAGAACAUCUAAAUUCGGGCAAAACUCGCCAAAAACAUAAUUGUGCAUCCACGAAUAGAUAGAUGUAAAUUACCAAGCUUUUGCUUUUGGGAGAGAGAAUCAUACAGCAGACAAAGGGUAUCUAUAAAAUCUUAAAAAGGCACAUGAAUUUCUUCUGGAAAAUUAAAGAAAAAAAUCUGAUAAUAAAGAAAAUUUAGCAGAUUUGAAAAAAAAAAUAGAAUAGUAAAAUCUGAACAGGCUUGAAUAGGGAAUUGUACAAUUUAGUUCAUGCCUGGUAUUUUUACCUGCGGAUAUGGAGGGAGGGAAGCAGGUUUACCAACUUCUUCAGUCGCCAUUGAAACUUGAUUCGCCCUGUGAGUGAGCACUGAGCAGUGUGUGAGUGUGUGUAAUUUUGUUAAGAGAGUGUCAGCUUCCGAAGCGAAGAGAAAAGAACAGUAAAACUUGAGUCCUUGGUGAGGGGAACAGAGCUUAUCGACACACUAUUAUUUAUUUGGUCAUUUUAGAGGGACUGAAAAGAAAAUAUAAAGAAACCAAAGUAAAGAGGUUUCAGGUUUGUGCAUUCUAGUUGAAAUCGGAUGGUUGAGAUUGGAGGAAGGGAAAAUCAUUGGAUGGUCAGGAUUGUUUGAUUCUGGGCUAACAUGGAUCGGUGACGUGGAUUAAGGCAUCUACUUUGCUGGGCAAAAUGUUUGAAAUGAUUUUUUUUUUUUUUUUUUAUGUUGGGGCUGUGUGCUUUAAUAUCCCUUGUUUGGCUGGGCCCCCAUGCACACGCCACAUUAAAAGUCCCGCAUGAUUAUCAAUUUCAUUUGUUCUCUGUAAUGUACUCGUACAAUUUUUCAAGCAACAAUUGUGAAUUAGAUCUAUCCAAAAAAAAAAAAACCACUUUUGAAUUAGAAAAUAUUAGAGGCAAAAGGACUAGAGACAUUGAAGGGGUCUAAUAGUUAUUUCCUAUGGACAGGAGUAAUUGUUCAAAAUUGUAAGAGUGCCUGGAGUUAAUUCCUAUAGAUAGUAGAGUUUCCAUCCGUUUCUGUCCCACGUUUUAUUGUAUUACUAUUUUUCUUUCAUAAACAUCAUAUCUUAAUUUUUUUUAUUUCUUUAAGAUUCAAUACUAUUAAUUAAUUAAUACACAAAAUUAAACAAACUCAAAAAAUCAAAAUGCAUAAAAAAUGAGAUUUUUAAUGAAUUUUUUGCUUUAUUUUUUAUUUUUUUAUUAUAUAUUACAUUUUUUGAGAUUGUUGUAUUUAUUUUUUACUCAAUUAAUUAUUAUUAGAUUUUAAAGAAAGAAAAAAAGAAUCAAAAUAUAAUAUUUAUAAAAAAAUAAUAGUAUAAUAAAAAAUGUGACAAAGAUCGACACUUUACAAAAAAUGAGACAGAAAAUUCACUGCUUCAAAAAAAAAAAAACCUGUUGUGGUCUGUUUGGAUUGUAAGUUAUUUGGGAAUAUUUGGGAUAUUUUUAUUGUAGCACUUUUUGUGAUGUGAUGUAUGUGAGAUAAAAAGAAAUUGGGAAGAUAAAAAGAUGUAUUGGAAAUUGUAAAGAUGAUGUAAGCAAAUAAAAUUAGAGAAAUACGAAGCAAUCCAAACAAACCUACGUGGUCCAUUUUGUAGAGUUUUAUUGAUUUUGAAUACUGCAGCAGCAGUUAGUGACCUUUACUCAACUGCAUGGGGAGUUCUUUGUGUUCCAAGGCAAUAAUAUCCAAAAGACUGUUUGUAAGCCAAGGCUUAGCAUCCAGUUGGUUGUAAGCCAAGUGUUGUUCCAUUAUCUGAAACAGAGAGAUAUCUCCUGAGGAAAUACAUUUCCCAAAACAAUAAACCCUUCACAAUGGCAGAUUGCACUACUGUUUUAUUUCUUAGUAGUAUUUCUUUAUGCCAAUUCCGAAAGUCAUUUGGGUUGGAUCCCGCUUCAUCAUCAGCACUACGUACUAACAGUAGUAGUAUCUUUUUUUUCGCACUCCAAGAAUUAUUAUUUAUUAUUGGAGGAGAAGAAGCAGAUUCCAACAAUCUAGGGAUGAAAAGCCGGUUAUUAGUAAACCAAAGAUUCCAAGUGGGGUCUUCUUGGUGGUUCCGACAAAGACAUAUAUAGUACCAUCAUCCAUAAUCAGGCUGUUUAGACUAAUUCCCGGAUGGAGAUACCAUAUCCACUUUGUUUUUGCAGACCACCCGGUCCGUGCAAAUUAUAACCUUACAAGUUCCUUGCAAAUCAACCUUUUAUCUAAAAUAUCACAAGAUUCACCCAUUAUCCAAAAGAAUCAACGAUUAUACUUGAAGCUAACAAGUAGUAGUCAGUAUUUUUCAACCCCUAGUAGUGGUUCAGUCCCAUCAAGUUCUCCCGAUCCACUAGAGUAGGCUCCCCCUCUGAGUAGGAGUAGAAGUAGAUUGGAUUAGGUUAAAUGUAAGUUCCUCCGAUCUUCUAGAAUAGGCUUCCCCUCUGAGCAGGAGUAACAGUAGGUUAUGUUAAAUUAGACGUGCAGUUACGUAAAUUAAAAAAAAAAGAAAAGAAAAAAGUAGUAGUAUUUUUCCCAGAAAACUGUUCUCGACGACAAACACCAGAUGUAGCAACCGACAUCAGUCAUUCUUCGUUGACCGUCUGUUGCUUUAGUCUGUACAGAAUAAUAGUAGCACCAUCCGCAAAGAGAUACUGGUCCGAACAUUGGCUUUACAUAUAGUAGUGAUUACUGAAACCUCAGUUCAAACUGUUCAAAGUCCAAACAUCAUCCUAGUCGUUAUCUAUUCCACUUCCAUUCUCCGCAAUCAAACAAAUGCUUGGACUUGGAGGAAAUCGAAUAGUUGCCAAAGAAUAAAUGCAAAUUUACAUACAAUUAUCGGGCAGGAUCAUCGCGACAGGAACAAACAAAAGAUUCAAAAGAAAGAACCAAUCUGCAAGCCAAUUCCUUAGAUAAGAUAGGCGGCAUACGAUACGAGUACCAAAUGGCAAAUGGAUGAUUCCUAAUGGUUAGGUGAAUUGAUCCCAGUAGCAAUACCAGGUACUACUUCCCAAUUUACAUGCAUCUAAGAUUCUAAGAAUUAAACUACAAAGACGACGACAAAAGUCACCACCAAUUACAGAAACUUGAAAGCCAACCUCCCUCGGAACCAAAAGAAGGCCGCUCUCAAGUCUCAACUCAACUCCAAAUAAUAAUAAUAUUAUUGUUAAUAAUAUCAUCAGCAUCUCAUCAGAUAAACCAAAUUUCAGCUCUCCUCCGCACCACCACCUGCAGACUGAGGCUGCACCUUCCUAGGCCUACCUCUAGGCCUCCCAGUUUUCGACACAGCAGGCUGAGCGGAAGGGGCAACCGGCUUCGGCUUCUUAGGAGCAGGUUCUGCAUUGGGGUCCUUUUUUGGGCGGCCACGAGACUUUGGCUCAGAAGGCACCACUGCCCCUGGAGCCAGAGGAUCCUUAGGCUUUGGGGGCCGGCCACGGCCCCGCCUCGGACGGGCAGUGGGAUCAGGAAUCAGGUAAUUGUUCUUGAAGAAAACAAGUUCACCAGUAUCUUUCAUUCUGGUUAAAUGGGCUGAAAGCAAGUUCGAAUGUCCAGCUGGCAAGUCUCCAUAUCUUGAUUCUAUGUAUUUGGAAAUUGCU